UGUGGCUAAAUUAAAAUUAGAAAUAACUUAAAAGGAAAAUUCAACUCUUAAGUCGUACUAGCCACAUUUCAAGAGUUCAGUAGUCGCAGGUGACCAGUGGCUACUGUAUUGGACAGCACAAAGAAACAUUUCUAUCAUUGCAGGAAGUUCCACUGGACAGUACUGUGGCAUCUGGGGCAGCUACAGGAACAGUAUGAGGCCACUGACAAAGGUGGCAAUUAACCAAGAGCAAAUUAGUGGGAGGCAACGAAGGCUCAGAUGUACUGCAUCUCCCUGCCUACGAUGGAGGGAGCUAUGGAUCCUCUAGGACCACACAGCUGUCUUGGACAGGAUCUGAAGCUAAUGGACCAAGGCAGAUGAUGCCUUUGUCACCACUUCCCUCUGGAUUGGAUGGACCCCUGACUGUUGCACGGACAGAACUGUGGACCACCUGGUACCCAUCUUCACAUCCAAACUAUGGACAACCCUGAAGUGGACACAGCAUUAUGGCAACGCGUGUCCCAGUACAGCUGCAGAGAAAGCUACCACAAACAGCCUGCUAGAGUGGAGAUGGCCAACACUUGCUUGAAGACCAGCUAAGCCAAAAGUGAAAUGUGAUCUUCACCAUGAAUAAAUGCACGCCUUGCUUCCUGCUGAACUAUGGCCAGGAUCUUCCCAAAGACACCCACUCUGCCCCUGUCCCCAUCAGGACUAACAGAAGCAUCCCUUUAGGAGAGUUGAGUCCCUCUGGCUUUGAGGUGGCUGCCACUUGCCAGGCUCCUGCUGAGGUCCUGGCCUGGGGCCAGAUGCCUGGCUCUCUGGCCAUGAGUUGUAUCCACUGGAUACCAGGUAUUGCCUUUGUUCCUCAGAUGGCAAGAACCUGAUUGUCUAGAGACCAGUUAUGAGGAGAUUCGUGUCUAGUGAUUCCUGAUGUCUCGUGAUGUGUCUCCAGUGAAGGAGAGAAUAAAGAAGGUGGGAGAGAUGCCAGUCCCUUGCUUCACUUGGCACUGAACAUGUGACAUCUGCUGAUCUUUAGCUAAAACCCACUAGCUGAUGGUUCACUGCCAGGUGAGAUCACCUCUCAAGUCUCCUUCUAUCUUUUCUUUAGGUCUAUGAAAUUUUAGGCUUUGGGGUGUAGAGGAGGGGAAACGUGUAAUGAUCCUGUCCCAGAUGUAUGGAACCUAAGUCUCUGAGGAUAGAGCUCAAUCCCCUCCCUGAUUCCUGUGUACUUCUCUGCUGGAAAACUAAGGAUUUAUGGAAAUCAUGUGACCCUGAGGGGAUGAAGCCAGAUGGUCAUUUAGUGUAAGCUUAGCAGGUUUUGUCCAAAGGCAGACAAAAACUGGCAUUUCUCUGUCCUGAUUCUAGUUUUCUGAGAACUGCCUGAGGAAUAGUUGGGUCCAGAUGAAAACAGUCUUAUUUUACUAGCUAAAUUUGGACUCCAUGCUGCAUAGUUUCCCAGCCUUCCUUCUGCAGGAUCAAAUCUCUCUGAAGGAGAUGGGUGCCCCCACCUAGGUGGGGGUUCCUUGAAUAUCUGGGUUGAGGUGUGCCCAGGUCUGAGCAGCAGAGCAGACUGGCCAUGAGAAGGAACACACUAGCCUCAGUGCGAGGGAAAGUGGGAGCCACAGUAGGUCAUUAACACAGGCUGAAGAGAGGUUCCUGGUGGGCUGAUGAACAGGCUGCCAUCGAUGAAUGGAAACAACUCCCAUGGGUCCCAUCCCUCAUUAAGAGCCUGGGGGUUUGGCAGGGGAGCCCAGGUACCAUCUCCAGCACGCACCUCACUGGAAGCUGUUUGGCAGCCUGUGGCCUACGUGAAAACACAUGGCUGAGCUCUUUCCCUGCAGGCUCCUUCCUGAGAACAGCCUUUCUGGCAGUCAGCAGGCAGCUGCUGGACAGACCUUAGGCCAAUGAGGUAGGGGGACUUGGGAUUCACAUAGUGUGAGCCUCGCUCCGAGAAAGCUCUUCCUGGGGCAGGGCCAGCCAGGCAUCUAAAACUGUGAGAACAAUCCAGCAAAGCCCUCCUCAGUAGAUUUCAUGGGAGAGGAGCCUGCAAGGGCCGAGGGCCACACAUUUGCUGCUCUUUAACAUAAGGAAUUUUGUUAUCCCAUAUGCUGUUGGUGGGGCUGACAGAUAAUGAGGAUUAAACAUCUGUGAGGUGCUGUGUUACUCUACCAGACAAAUCACAGAGGCCUGUGCUGUUAAUCCUGUACCCUGUCAGCUGAUAAGGGUGGGCACUCAUUGGCUUCUAAGGCUGCAGAACAUCUGUUGCCAUUGUUUGACUUGUCUCCCCUAGACUUGCUGCAGAAGAGCUUUGAAAUAGUUAUUUGCAAAAGCAGGUGGAGUGCUUUGAAGAAAAGCCCUGUAUAAACAGCAUGAACACAACAGCAGCAUGUUCCACUUUGAGGCUAAUCCUACCCUAUCCCUGCCUAGGCUCCGUCAUGCCAGUAGGCCUGCUGCCUUCCUGAAAGGAAGGCCCUUUGAGGCAAAGGGGAGGAGAACACCUGACAUGGCAUUUGGUUAGAAGAUGAGCCCCCAUCUGACUGUGUGACCUUAGCUAAGUCACUCAAGUGUUUUCCUUAUUUUGUCAUCUGGGAAAUGUGCUUGGUGCCUGGUGUUGUGUGAGGAUUAACUACAUGCUGCUUAAGAAAUGUACUGGCUGGGGGCACCCAGGUGGUUCAGUGUUUGAGCACCUGCCUUUGGCCCAGGGCGUGAUCCUGGGGUCCCAAG